rnacentral:rRNA from 1 species
AGCAGUAGCCGCGGUAAUACGUAGGGUGCAAGCGUUAAUCGGAAUUACUGGGCGUAAAGCGUGCGCAGGCGGUUUGUUAAGACAGAUGUGAAAUCCCCGGGCUCAACCUGGGAACUGCAUUUGUGACUGGCAAGCUAGAGUAUGGCAGAGGGGGGUGGAAUUCCGCGUGUAACAGUGAAAUGCGUAGAUAUGCGGAGGAACACCGAUGGCGAAGGCAAUCCCCUGGACCUGUACUGACGCUCAUGCACGAAAGCGUGGGGAGCAAACAGGAUUAGAUACCCCUGUAGUCCCUGUCUCUUAUAC